rnacentral:lncRNA from 1 species
AAAUCACCACAGUAAGAUCAUAGCUUCAGGACCUAAGUAGCUCCUGGGGAUGGGAAAGAGAUGACUGACUGAGGUGGUUGAUGGGAUUCUUACAGGACCCCACUGGAAAUCGGACUGUUCAACUCACCUGGCAUCCACUCCCAGAGCCCCUGGAACUCUGGCCCAAGGCUCUCUGACUGACUUCUUCCCAGAUCUUCUCGGCUUAGCAGCUGAAGACUGACGCUGCCCGAUUGCCUCAGAAGCCCCGUAGACCAUCAUGGACGCCGAGCUUUAGGUAACUCUCACAGUGGAGGCAACAAAGCACCAUCUUGGAAGCAGAGAGCCACCCUCACCAGAACUGAAUGCAGGCACCGUGACCUUGAACUUCCCAGCCUCCAGAACUAUGUGAGUGCACAUGGAAAUUUAUGGAGUCUCUCAGCAUUGUAGAAGAGCCUCUGUUUCUUCUCACUGGUUCCUGUCCUCCUCAGCUUGGUAUAUAACUCCUGAGGGCUGAAUACCUGGUUGCUGAAGGAUCCAGUCCCUGCCCUAUAACCGAGGAAGAAUUUCUACUUCCCCUUCCUGUCCAGAAGUGAUAUUCCCAGAUGAAGUGAGAAAUUAUAUGCUCUCUGGGAAAUGGCUAUCUGCAAAGACUUGUGGCAUUCUACUUUCUGGAUAUAUUGCCUUAUGUCUGGCAAACUGUACUGAUUAAAACUUUGAACAGAAGAAGGAAAAACUAAUUUGGAAGGGCUAAUCAAGACUCUCCAUAGUCCAAAAGGGAUGAUUUCUCAGUUGUGCAGAGAACCAAUAAACCUCCAUCCUGAGGACAAAAGUAAUUUUGUGAAACUGCAUGAAGUUUCUCUAGAGAGAGAGACUUCACAAAGCCCAGUGGUCACAGCUGUGCAGUGGAACCGAACUACUUUGAAUCUCUGCCAUCAAAGGAAAGAAUCUCAGGAUUUUCUGCUACAGAAGCAUGAUCGUGUUUAAAUUCUUAAAAUGCUGCAUUAGCAAGAAUUCUCCACAGAAACAGACUCUCUCUCUAGAGUUGAGAGAGAGAGAGAGUUAAUAUAGGAAUUGGCUCAUGGGACAAUGGAGGCCAAGAAGUUCCAGAAUCUGAUGUCUGCAAGCCAGCAAACAAAGCCAAUAAUGUAAUUUAGUCUGAGUUCAAAGGCCCAAGAAUGGAGGUACUGAUGGUAUAAUUCCUGAUCUGAGUCUAAAGGCCCAAGAACCAGGAACACUCAUGUUAACAGAAAAUGAAUAGGCCAGGUGCAGUGGCUCACACCUGUAAUCCCAGCACUUUGGGUGGCUGAGGCCGGCAGAUCCAUCGAGGUCAGGAGUUUGAGACCAGCCUGACCAACAUGGUGAAACCCUGUCUCUACUAAAAAUACAAAAAUUAGC